rnacentral:tRNA from 228 species
GCCCCUAUAGCUCAGCUGGUAGAGCAUCUGAUUUGUAAUCAGAGGGUCCGCGGUUCGAGUCCGUGUGGGGGCACCA